AACGAACGCUGGCGGCGUGCCUAAGACAUGCAAGUCGAACGGUAAGGCACCUUCGGGUGUACACGAGUGGCGCACGGGUGAGUAACGCGUGGGUAAUCUGCCUUCGGGUUUGGGACAACUCCGGGAAACUGGAGCUAAUACCGAAUAAGACCACGAGGUCCUUGGGCCUUGUGGAAAAAGGUGGCCUCUUCUUGAAAGCUAUCGCCUGUUGAUGAGCCCGCGUCCCAUUAGCUUGUUGGUGAGGAAAAGCUCACCAAGGCAUCGAUGGGUAGCUGGUCUGAGAGGACGACCAGCCACACUGGAACUGAGACACGGUCCAGACUCCUACGGGAGGCAGCAGUGGGGAAUUUGGACAAUGGGCGCAAGCCUGAUCCAGCCAUGCCGCGUGAGUGAAGAAGGCC
rnacentral:rRNA from 1 species